AAAAAAGAAGAUUUGUAGUUUACAAGUUAACUUUUACCCCUGUUUCCUCCAUCAGGCCCAUUUAGUAGGGGACCAGGAGUGGUGUAUAUUCAGAUCCAUGAAAACCCACUUGACUCUUCUGCCCAUACAGAGUGUGAAAAUAAGCUGAUUGCCAUGGAAGCAGCUGAGCCCAAACCAACCCAGGGCUUGAAACAUAAUGAUAUCGAAGAUCUAACCGACAGCAAAGUUCGUCUCUCCCCGGCAUCAACGCACACUCCAGAAUAAUCAAGUCUUGUAAUUUCGCCAGAGCAUCACUGCCAGAAAAGUCCUUCUCCCCUCUCGCUGCCUA